ACGUGUGACAAAGUAAUCAAUGACAGACAACCAAACCUUAUUAUAGUGGUUUUAGCACUAUAAAAUAUUAUAAUAUACAUUGACAGUUCAUAUUAUAAUAUUUGAUAUUAAGAACUCACUGUUCAUCUGAAUCAAGUACCAAAGAUCAAUGACCAUGUAUGGGGUUCUGUUUGUACUAAUGGUUGGUCUUGUAACUUCAGCAGUGAUAACAACUGAUGAUAAUAACAAAACAGAACAACUGUGCAUCAAAGGAGACGAGUGUAAGGGCCAGGCCAACGGGAAUUCUUUUAUUGCGAUAGGUGAUAUUAGAUAUUGCUGUCCUGUAAGACAAAAUCUUUCAUCUUCGGUAUCUAUUGAUGGUAACAUGGGUGAUAUAAAAUGCACAUGUGCCUAUGGCGAACUGGUGGAUUUUGAAUGGAGCAAGAUAUGGGCACAAUUUCAGAAUAGUAUGAAUAAUAUGUUUGAAAACAUGUGGCCCUUUAGUUAAAGUUGCCCGAAAUAAAUGAAUUAUAGUGCA